UGAGGCAGGAGAAUCGAUUGAGCCCAGGAGGUGGAGGUUGCAGUGAGCCAAGAUUGCGCCAUUGCACUCCAGCCUGGGUGACAGCAAGAUUCCGUCUCAAAAAAAAAAAAA
rnacentral:miRNA from 1 species